rnacentral:lncRNA from 1 species
GCCGGUUGGGGCUGGGCUCAGGGGCCGAGACCUAGCUGGGCUUGGGGCGGGGCCGAGACGGAGCGAGGGGUCCAGGGUGUGGGAAACGGGGAGGGGUUUGAGGAGGGGAUCGGAAUGUGGCUCAAGUUCGGGAGGCGUUACCUGCGGAGGGUUUGAGGCAGGCCCAGGAGCGAGCCCAUGGUCUUCCGACGCGGGGCCAGGGGCGGGGCCCAGGAUCCGGAGCUUCGUGCGGGGCCGAGUCCAGGUUUGGGGCCCGGGAGGCGGGGCCAGUUAGGGCGAGGGUCCCUGGGAUCGUCGGGUCAGGCCUUGGGCUAACGUAGGCACUCUCGCAGUUCCUCCGCCUUCAGGAAGGUCUUUUCAGCAGGGGCCUUACGGGUGCAUGCUUCGGUCCUGGAGGCCUUAUCCUAGCCUCCUCUCCAUCAGCGCCACCCGUCUGGGGCCCGAAAGGAGGGAGCUUUCCCUCUGUCCCCCAGCCUUUGGACUGUCACUAAACAAGCCAUUCGUUCAUCAAAUACUUUUUAAGCGCCUACCAUGUGCCUGACAAGGGAGAUGUAACGGUGAGAAAAACUAGGUGUGGUCCAGGCCCUUCAGGGGCUCAGGUGCUCGUGGAAGAAGUGGACAUUGAAGUACUUAUCACACAAAUGAGGAUAAAAGUACGAUAACGAUAUCUACCACGAAGCUGUUGUUCCCCACCAGAACCAAAUGAGCGCAAGAUCUGACAAAGAAAAAAAAAGGUU